rnacentral:lncRNA from 1 species
AGGGCGGGUCCGCGGCCGCCAGGUGAGCCCGCCCCGGUAGCCCCGCGCGUGGUCCGGUCGGCAGAGGCUUGGCGAGCCGCCAUCCCGCCCCUGCCCCAGGCCCACCUUCCCCCACCGCCCAGGCCCCGCUGGCCUCCCCGGCUCAUCUCGCACCCGGCGCAGACCCCAUGCCCUCCCGUCUCGGCAGCGCCCCCCGCUUCGCCUCCCGGUCCGGCCCCAGCUCGACGGGCGGAACCGGGUGCGCACAGCAGCCCCGCGCCCUGGCCCAGGGCCAGCGGGUUAACGCUUAACUACGCUCCAGGAGCUGUAGGCUCCAGCCGCGCCUCGAGUCCCCAACCUUUGGCCCCGGAAGCCAAAAAGAGGAGCGGACGGUGAAGGAGUCAGGGUGAGUUCCAGAGGCCGCUCCCAGAUUUUCCCUCCCGAGCCUGGCCAGACUGGGCGUAUGUCCGACAUCUCCACCUCUGACCCCGGGCGCUCUGGGCUGAGCUGGGGGCGAUGGUGGUGGGCAUCGACGCCGUCUUACCUGGACGCCCACAGUGGACCUGACCUGGCCGAGGGGUGGGGGUGGGGUUGGGAACUACGGAGGCGCUCGGGGUUCCUGGGUAAGUUCCCGCGGACUGCUCGCUCCUUGCCGGGUGCUACAAUAGGCGUAUCCGGUGUCCCUGGAGCCAAGCUAGGGGACGGGAUCAACGUGGGGGCGGGGCAGCGUGCCCGAAGGGCAUUGCUGCAUUCCAGGUGUUGGGGAACGCAGUGAGCGAAGGCGUGGAGGUGAGGGAGAAUGUGGAAGGCGUGCGCCCGGCCGGGGAACCCUGGGCUUUGUCCUGUGGGCAGCUGGAGCGGCUGGGCGUUCCCGGCUGCGACAACGCCCACCUGGCCCCGCACCUGGGCCUGCUCGCAAUCCAGCGGCGCCUCUCCGCAUCUGCCUUCACGGAUCUCAGCCCCAGCAGAGCCCUUGUGCCGGACCCUGGGGCGGGAUUGCGAGUUCAGAGGGAGUCAAGAGGCGCCCUUGAGUAUGGCGGGAGCCCCACCCCAAGCACCUGGUGGGAACUCACUUGCCUAGGGAGAGAGCAGGGCAGUGAGCACUCCGGGCUGGCUCCCAGGAAAGACCCUCCGGCAGGAGCUUGGAUUGCAAGGUUGGGGAGGAGGGAGGCCAGGGGAGGGACCUGCAGCCAGGUGAUCCGGGUGCCUGUAUUUCUUCCCAAGGAUAAUGUGAGUUGAUGCUGGCUGAGAUCUGCUCCGAUGAGGGUUUGAAAGAGAGAGCUCCGGGUGUCAAAGUCAGUGGAUGGCAAAACAUGCCUGGAGGGAGCAACCAGGCAUCCAACCACAGGCCCUGGGCUGGAGGGCGGGGGGGGGGGGGGGUGGAAGCAGAGGAAGGAGAGAGAAGGAAAUUUGGGAGGAAGAGUGGGCACGAACUGGCUGCCCAAUUGUGUGGGUGGGUAGGUGGCAGGGAGGGACUGGUUGUUCUGGGUCUGCCCCUCCGGCCCCACCACACCUGCUUCCAGGUGAGCUUAGGAAUUUCCCAGGCUUCCUCCCAGCUGGAGCCAGACGUGUCCCUCAGAGGCCCCAGCCCUGCCCAUCCUUUCCUGCCCUACCCAGGGCUUCUCUACCUUCUUGGCUUGGCCUGCUCCUUGUUCACACCUUGGUAAAUGACCCUUCACAAAAGUCAUUUUCUCUAUUUGUGCUUUUCUUUCUUUUGCCAGGACGCUUGACUUUCUCGACAGGGAGGGGGAGGCAAGCCUGGUGCCCAGUGCUCUGCCUGCACUGGUCAGUGCGCGUGGCUGUCACUUGGCUGGGAAGCUAGGCCAGGAGAGCAGCUGCAGCUGUGGAGGUCGGCAGUUGAGAGGUGGAGAGACCUGAGCACACUUGGGCCAGUCGUCCCGUGGCAUUUGGGAGCCCAGGACCGAGCCGGGGGGCAAGUGUGGGCAAUGCUUGGAGCCACAGAGUGGGGGUAGGGAAUUGGAGGGGUAGAGAGGACAACUCAAACCAAGCCAGGAACCCACAGAGGAGACCAGGAAAGGAAAACCAAGAAGGAGUGAGUCCCCAAUGCCCCCAAAUUGAUCCAUAUAUUGAAUGAUCCCCAGUAAAAGUAGCUCCAUGAUGAUUCCAAAGCCCUUAGGAAACUAAAGGUGCCAGGAGAAUGAAUAGACACGUCUCCAUAGAAGACACACACUGGUCAACAAGUACAUGGGAAAUGUCCAGCAUCCUCCAGGAAAUGCAAAGCAAAACCACAGUGAGAUCCCACCUCCCACCCGCUGGGACUGGGCAGAUGCAGUCCUGGCAAACCAGUCUUGGUGAGGAGCGGGGGUAUCAGAGCCCUGCUGCACUGAGAUACACACACACAAAAUGGAAUAGUAUUCAGUCUUAAAAAGGAAAGAAAUUCCAGUACUGGCUGCAACUUGGAUGGACCCUGAGGAUCCUAUGCUGAGUUAAAUAAGCCAGUCACAGAAGAACACGUACCAUACAAUCCCACUUAUGUGAGGUCCCUAGAGUAGUCACUUUCAUAGAGAUAGUAGCUGACAGGAGGAGCAUGGGGAGUGACUGUUUAAUGAAUACAGACUUGAAAUUUGGGAAGAGGUAAAAGUUCUGGAGAUGGAUGGUGGUGAUGGGUGGUGAUGAUGGACAUUGGAGAUGGGCAAUGGACAUGGAUGGUGGUGAUGGAUGGUAUAAAUGGAUAUUGGAUGUGGACAGCGGACGUGGACAGUGGAGAUAGAGGGUGGUGAUGGCUGGUGGACAUGGACAGUGAAGAUAGAGAGUAGUGAUGGAUGGUGGAGAUAGAGGGCGGUGAUGGACAGUGGAGAUAGAGGGUGGUGAUGGACAGUGGAGAUAGAGGGUGGUGAUGGACAGUGGACAUGGAUAGUGGAGACAGAGGGUAGUGAUGGACAGUGGAGAUAGAGGGUGGUGAUGGACAGUGGACAUGGACAGUGGAGAUAAAGGGUGGUGAUGGACAGUGGAGAUAGAGGGUGGUGAUGGACAGUGGAGAUAGAGGGUGGUGAUGGACAGUGGAGAUAGAGGGUGGUGAUGAACAGUGGAGAUAGAGGGUAGUGAUGGACAGUGGACAUGGACAGUGGAGAUAGAGGGUGGUGAUGGAUGGUGGACAUGGACAGUGGAGAUAGAGGGUGGUGAUAGACGGUGGACAUGGACAGUGGACAUGGACGGUGGGGACAGAGGGUGGUGAUGGACGGUGGACACAGACGGUGGAGAUAGAGGGUGGUGAUGGACGGUGGACACGGACAGUGGAGAUAGAGGGUGGUGAUGGACAGUGGAGAUAGAGGGUGGUGAUGGUCAGUGGAGAUAGAGGGUGGUGAUGGACGGUGGAGAUAGAGGGUGGUGAUGGACAGUGGACAUGGACAGUGGAGACAGAGGGGGUGAUGGACAAUGGACAUGGACAGUGGAGAUACAGGGUGGUGAUGGACGGUGGACAUGGACAGUGGAGACCGGGGGUGAUGAACAGUGGACAUGGACAGUGGAGACAGAGGGUGGUGAUGGACCCUGGAGAUAGAGGGUGGUGAUGGACAGUGGAGAUAGAGGGUGGUGAUGGGCGGUGGACAUGGACAGUGGAGAUAGAGGGUGGUGAUGGACAGUGGACAUGGACAGUGGAGAUAGAGGGUAGUGAUAGACGGUGGACAUGGAUAGUGGAGAUAGAGGGUGGUGAUGGACGGUGGACAUGGACAGUGGAGAUAGAGGGUGGUGAUGGACGGUGGACAUGGACAGUGGAGAUAGAGGGUGGUGAUGGACAGUGGAGAUAGAGAGUGGUGAUGGACAGUGGAGAUAGAAGGUGGUGAUGGACAGUGGAGAUAGAAGGUGGUGAUGGACAGUGGACAUGGACGCUGGAGAUAGAGGGUGGUGAUGGACAGUGGAGAUAGAGGGUGGUGAUGGAUGGUGGACAUGGACAGUGGAGAUAGAGGGUGGUGAUGGAUGGUGGACAUGGAUAGUGGAGUUGAAGGGUGGAGAUGGAGGGUGGUGAUGGAUGGCGGUGAUGGAGGGUGGAGAUGGAGGGUGGUGAUGGAGGGUGGAGGGUAGUGAUGGACAGUGGAGAUGGAGGGUGGAGAUGGUGGGUGGUGAAGGAGGUUGGUGAUGGAGGGUGGUGAUGGGGGGUGGAGAUGGAGGGUGGUGAUGGAUGGUGGAGAUGGAGGGUAAAAAUAGUUGGUGGUGAUGGAGGAUGGAGAUGGAGGGUGGAUGGAGGGUGGAGAUAGAUGGUGGUGAUAGAGGGUGGUGAUGGAGGGUGGAGAUGGUGGGUGAUGAUGGAGGGUGGUGAUGGAUGGUGGAGAUAAAUGGUGGUGAUGAAGGGUGGAGAUGGAGGGUGGAGAUGCAGGGUGGAAAUGGAGGGUGGUGAUGGACAGUAGAGAUGAAUGGUUGUGAUGGAUGGUGGAGAUGGAGGGUGGAAAUGGUGGGUGGUGAUGGAGGAUGGAGAUGGAGGGUGGAUGGAGGGUGGAGAUGGUGAGUGGUGAUAGAGGGUGGAGAUAAAUGGUGGUAAUGGACAGUGGAGAUGGACAGCGGAAAUGGAGGGUGGAGAUGCAGGGUGGAAAUGGAGGGUGGUGAUGGACAGCGGAGAUGAAUGGUAGUGAUGGAUGGUGGAGAUGGAGCAUGGAAAUGGUGGGUGGUGAUGGAGGAUGGAGAUGGAGGGUGGUGAUGGAGAGUGGUGAUGGAUGGUGGAGAUGAAUGGUGGUGAUGGACGAUGGAGAUGGAGGAUGGAGAUGGAGGGUGGAUGAAGGGUGGAGAUGGAAGAUAGUGAUGGAGGGUGGUGAUGGAUGGUGGUGAUGGAGGAUGGAGAUGGAGGGUGGAUGGAGGGUGGAGAUGGUGAGUGGUGAUGGAGGGUGGAGAUAAAUGGUGGUAAUGGACAGUGGAGAUGGACAGUCGAAAUGGAGAGUGGUGAUGGAUGGUAGUGAUGGAUGGUGGAGAUGGACAGCGGAGAUGAAUGGUGGUGAUGGAUGGUGGAGAUGGAGCGUGGAAAUGGUGGGUGGUGAUGGAGGAUGGAGAUGGAGGGUGGAGAUGGAGGGUGGUGAUGGAGGGUGGAGAUGAAUGGUGGUGAUGGAUGGUGGAGAUGGAGGAUGGAGAUGGAGGGUGGAUGAAGGGUGGAGAUGGAAGGUGGUGAUGGAGGGUGGUGAUGGAUGGUGGAGAUGAAUGGUGGCGAUGGACGGUGGAGAUGGAGGAUGGAGAUGGAAGGUGGUGAUGGAGGGUGGAGAUGCAGGGUGGAAAUGGAGGGUGGUGAUGGAUAGCAGAGAUGAAUGGUUGUGAUGGAUGGUGGAGAUGGAGGGUGGAAAUGGUGGGUGGUGAUGGAGGAUGGAGAUGGAGGGUGGAUGAAGGGUGGAGAUGAAUGGUGGUGAUGGACGGUGGAUGAAUGGUUGUGAUGGAUGUGGUGAUGGAGGGUGGUGAUAGACGGUGGAGAUGGAGGGUGGAGAUGGUGGGUGGUGAUGGAGGGUGGGGAUAAAUGGUGGUAAUGGACAGUAGAGAUGGACGGUGGAAAUGGAGGAUGGUGAUGGUUGUACAACAAUGUGAAUGCACUUGAUGUCACUCAACUGUUCACUUAAAAAUGGCAAACAUAGUAGUUUUUAUGUUACAUAUAUUUUACUACAAUAAAAAAAGAAUGAAAAGCCUAUAAAAUUCUGAAAAAUAAAAAAGGGGGCUUUAGCCCUGCCAGAGAGUAGAAUCCAUCAUAGAACAUCUUGCUAUGGGCAGUUGACUGGACACACACAUCAGAGCAGGUCUGUGUGAUCAUUUAGCAUAUGAUUAAUGGGGCAUUUAAAAUCCACGAGGGGCCGGGCGCAGUGGCUCACGCCCGUAAUCCCAGCACUUUGGGAGGCCGAGGCGGGUGGAUCACCUGAGGUCAGCAGUUCGAGACCAGCCUAACUAACAUGGGGAAACCCUGUCUCUACUAAAAAUACAAAAAAUAGCUGGGCAUGGUGGUGGGUGGCUGUAAUCCCAGCUACUGAGGUGGCUGAGGUGGGAGAAUCACUUGAACCUGGAAGCGGAGGUUGCAGUGAGCCAAGAUCGUGCCACUUCUCUCCAGCCUGAGCAACAAAGCGAGACUCUGUCUCAAAAAAUAAAUUAAUUAAUAAAUAAAUAAAUCCAUGAGGGAAAGGAUGUCAUUUAAAAAAGGGUGUGGCCAGGCACGGUGGCUCAUGCCUAUAACCAGCACUUUGGAGGCCGAGGCAGGUGGAUCACCUGAGGUCAGGAGUUUGAGACUGGCCUGGCCAGCAUGGUGAAACUCUGUCUCUACUAAAAAAAAAGGACAAAAUUAGCUGGAUGUGGUGGCGCAUGCCUGUAAUCCCAGCUACUUGGGAGGCUGAGGCAGGAGAAUCGCUUGAACCUGGGAGGCAGAGAUUGCAGUGAGCCUAGAUUACGCCAUUGUACUUCAGUCUGGGCAACGAGCGAAACUCCAUCUCAAAAAAAAUAAAAAUAAUAAUAAAAUAAUAAUAAAGGGUGGUGGAGCAACUGGGCGGCCUUGGUGUCUGGAAAAACAUGACGUUGGAUCCUGAUCCCACUCUUCACACGGAAAUAAAUUCCUUAUGGAGCGGAAAUAGAAAUGCAAAAACCCAAAACCACAAACAUAAUUUGGAAAAAACACAGGAGACUAUUUAAUGAUCUCAGGAUCCGGAAGGCUUUUCUGAGCACAACAAAAAAGCAGAAGCCACAGGGAACAUUGUUGAAAAAUUUAAUUAAAUUACAAAUGGCAACAUUUUGCCUAGACCACAUAUUUAAAAUCAAAGGAUGUGCAACAAACUGGGGAGAACCCAUGAUAACUCAGUGGUUAACAAAGGGCCGAUUCUCCCAACAAAGGGCUACUAUCAGUCAACGAGGAAAGGGCCAGGCCGCCGGACACGCUGCACAAAGGAAGCCCCAAUGGCUGCUGACUGCAAGAUGCUGAACCUCCGCCGUAAUCAGGGAUGAGCAAAUUGGCCCUACCGGAAGAUGGUAUUUUCACCUGUCAGACGUUUUCAUGAGAGACUGGGAUGGGAGGAGCGGGGAGACAGGCACUUCCCACAACUCCCAGCAGGAGUGUGAAUUUGGGGUGUCGGGGGAGGGGAUUUUGUUUCCACUAUAGCCUGGUACUGCUAGAAGGUUUUAAAUGAGGACACUAGCUGUACUAACAAUUACAAAAUUCGCAGUACUGUGUAGGGGAGAGAGGGUCGGGGGGGAGGGCAUGGGGCCCCCUACGCAAUGUGGUGGCGCCAAGGGAAUGCCUAGCGGGUCCCUUGGGCUUAAGGACAAGGAUGCCAAGGUUUUGGGGCCUGGCAGGCCGGAGUGGGUGCCUGGAGCUAGAGGUAGAAGGUGUAGGUGCCCCCUUCUGGGAACAAGGGGGUGAGAGGAGGGAGGGAAAAAGGGGUGCAGGGCGGGUCAGAGGGCUCCCUCCCCCCAACAGCUGACCCCCCAGCCCCAGCGCCCUGCUUUGCAGCCACGGCAUUCAGCAGCCUCCACCUGGGGCUGAGAUUGUGACCACCCUCAGGGACACGGGUUCAGGUCUGCUGUCUGCUGAACCUACGUUCUGCAGGAUUUGGUCCAGGGCUCUGGUGAAGAUGUAGGAGUUGGCCUGCGUCAGCGCCCGUCCCCGCUUUCCACAGCGAGCAAAGACCGUGGGAACCCUGAUGCCCCUUUGCAUUUGCGCUUCUGUACUUAGCUGCUAGUCUCAGGCAGUGAAAGCUUCAAGCCACCCGCAGAGCCCUGGAACUGGGGCAUUGGCUCUAGUGGGAAAAGGAGGCUUCCCACUGGCGACCCACCAUGACAGACCACAAAAGACAUGCAGGUCCCCACAGUCAGGCCCUGACACCCACUCUUCCUGCCUUCUUCUGCCUAGGCUUGCACAGCUGGGCAAGUGAGCGGGAGCCACGGGUUAGCUGAGAUCACCUGCGGCCAGGAACAGGGCCUUCCUGGAGGUGAGGACAAGCUCUGCUUCCUCCAGGAGCAGGUGCUGGAGCAGAGCGGCUCCCCCGUUCUACAAGUGUCCUCUGUGUGGCGGCCCAGGUCUGUGCGGGCCUGUCCAGCCCAGGAGAGGACAGAAGUCAUCUGUAGCCUGGGCCCCUGUGGCCCCCAGCGAGAGGCCCUGGUGGGACUGGUCUUUCUCAGCCUGUGCACCUGGGGCUGAAACAGGACUCAAAGAGGGAAAGUGGCCCAGGCAGGCCCUCCCCUCAGGCCUCCCCUCUCCCUGGCUGCUCUCCCAGGCUUCCCUGCUUUCCCUUCUGAGACCCCGACUACUGGACCCAGCCUUACUGCCAAGAUAAUUAUCCACAACAGCAGGAGCGCCCAGGCCCAUGAAGAUAAUCGCCUGCCCAGCACUGUGUCCACAUCCAGUUCAUCCCAGCUGAGACCCAAGUGCAGCUGAGGGGUGGGGGACACUCCUCAGCUCUCGAAUGAUGCCAACCCUCCAGGGCCUGGCUGGGAGCAGCUCAGUGCUUCCUGGCUCCGGGGCUGUGUUCCCUACGUCCCAUUCGGAGCUUCUCUCCUGAAGAAAACAGUGUCUGCCUGCACCCUUCUUAGAAAGCACCCUGACACGUGGCUACAAAGAGCAGAGAGCACAGUACCCUUCCCAGACACACACCAGCACCCCCACCCACUGCAUUUAAGCCACCACUGUCCCGCCGCAUUCAUCCCUCCUCUACCCCCUAAAUUCAUCUUUCAGUGGAACUCUGCGUUCAUCCCUCCACUCCCCGCUCCAUUCAUCCCUCCACUCCCUGCUCCAUUCACCCCUCCACUCCCCCCUCCAUUCACCCUUCCACUCCCCCCUCCAUUCAUCCUUCCACUACCCCCUAAAUUCAUCCUUCCACAGAACCCUGCGUUCAUCCCUCCACUCCCCGCUCCAUUCACCUCCACUCUCCCUCCAUUCACCCCUCCAAACCCCCCUCCAUUCACCCCUCCACUCUCCCCUCCCUUCACCCUCCACUCCCUGCUCCUUUCACCCCUCCACUCCCCCCCAUUCACCCUUCCACUCCCCCCUCCAUUCAUCCUUCCACUACCCCCUAAAUUCAUCCUUCCACAGAACCCUGCGUUCAUCCCUCCACUCCCCGCUCCAUUCACCUCCACUCUCCCUCCAUUCACCCCUCCAAACCCC